GGAGAGGUGUCCGAGUGGUUGAUGGUGCCGCUCUCGAAAAGCGGUGUGGCCGCAAGGUCAUCGUGGGUUCGAAUCCCACCCUCUCCGCCA
rnacentral:tRNA from 1 species